GACGAACGCUGGCGGCGUGCUUAACACAUGCAAGUCGAGCGGAUCGGCGAACGGGUGAGUAACGCGUGAGUAACUGCCCCCCUCUCUGGGAUAACAGUUGGAAACGGCUGCUAAUACCGGAUAGUGGGGGAUGACUCGCGUCCUAUCAGCUUAUUGGUGGGUUAGUGGCCUACACAGGCGACGACGGGUAGCCGGCCUGAGAGGGCGAGCGGCCACAUUGGGCUGGGAUAGGGCCCGAACUCCUACGGGGGGAAGCAGUGGAGAAUAUUGCACCAUGGGGGACACCCUGAGGCAGCAACGCGCGUGCGGGAUGACGGCCUUCGGGUUGUAACCCGCUUUCAGCCAUGACGCGGUAGUGGCAGAAGAAGCACCGGCUAACUACGUGCCAGCAGCCGCGGUAAUUC
rnacentral:rRNA from 1 species